CUUGUUGUUUUAUUUUUUCAAUUUCCGUUUUUCUAUCUAUUUCUUCAUUUUCUUUUGUUAUUCUUAUCAUAGCAGUUAAACUAUCUUCUAGUUUUACCGUUUCUUUUUCUAACAUUAAAUUUAGAUUGUCACCUAUUUUCUUAUAUCUUCUUCCUAGAUUAGAAAAUAUUAUCUUUAUUUUUAAUCCGUCAUAGUUUUCAUAUGUUUUUUCAUCUAUUGCGUAUUCUUCUUUAUUCAUUUAUAAAUUAUGUUGUAG
rnacentral:lncRNA from 1 species